UGGGGAAUAUUGCGCAAUGGGGGGAACCCUGACGCAGCCAUGCCGCGUGAAUGAAGAAGGCCUUAGGGUUGUAAAGUUCUUUCGAUAUUGAGGAAGGUUGAUGUGUUAAUAGCACAUCAAAUUGACGUUAAAUACAGAAGAAGCACCGGCUAACUCCGUGCCAGCAGCCGCGGUAAUACGGAGGGUGCGAGCGUUAAUCGGAAUAACUGGGCGUAAAGGGCACGCAGGCGGUUAUUUAAGUGAGGUGUGAAAGCCCCGGGCUUAACCUGGGAAUUGCAUUUCAGACUGGGUAACUAGAGUACUUUAGGGAGGGGUAGAAUUCCACGUGUAGCGGUGAAAUGCGUAGAGAUGUGGAGGAAUACCGAAGGCGAAGGCAGCCCCUUGGGAAUGUACUGACGCUCAUGUGCGAAAGCGUGGGGAGCAAACAGGAUUAGAUACCCUGGUAGUCCACGCUGUAAACGCUGUCGAUUUGGGGGUUGGGGUUUAACUCUGGCGCCCGUAGCUAACGUGAUAAAUCGACCGCCUGGGGAGUACGGCCGCAAGGUUA
rnacentral:rRNA from 1 species